AGCGAACGCUGGCGGCAGGCCUAACACAUGCAAGUCGAACGAACUCCUCGGAGUUAGUCGCGCACGUGUGUGUAACACGUGGGAACGUGCCUUUGUGCGCGGCAUAACUCAGGGAAUCUUGUGCUAACACGGAAAGCGCUCUCCGGGGGAAAGAUUUAUCGCCAUUAGAGCGGCCCGCGUCUGAUUAGCUAGUUGGUGAGGUAACGGCUCACCAAGGCGACGAUCAGUAGCUGGUCUGAGAGGAUGACCAGCCACACUGGGACUGAGACACGGCCCAGACUCCUACGGGAGGCAGCAGUGGGGAAUCUUGCACAAUGGGCGAAAGCCUGACGCAGCCAUGCCGCGUGAAUGAUGAAGGUCUUAGGGUUGUAAAGUUCUUUUACCGGGGAAGAUAAUGACGGUACCCGAAGAAGAAGCCCCGGCUAACUUCGUG
rnacentral:rRNA from 1 species